rnacentral:rRNA from 1 species
GAUGAACGCUAGCGGCAGGCUUAAUACAUGCAAGUCGUGGGGCAGCAGGGGUAGUAAUACCCGCUGGCGACCGGCAAACGGGUGCGGAACACGUACGCAACCUUCCUUUAACUGGAGAAUAGCCCCUGAAAGAGGGAUUAAUACUCCGUAACAUAUAGAUGUGGCAUCACAAUUAUAUUAUAGCUCCGGCGGUUAAAGAUGGGCGUGCGCCUGAUUAGAUAGUUGGCGAGGGAACGGCCUACCAAGUCUGCGAUCAGUAACUGGUGUGAGAGCACG